rnacentral:rRNA from 1 species
AAUGAACGCUGGCGGCAUGCCUAAUACAUGCAAGUCGAACGAAAAGACCGGGACCUGUCUCCCCUGACGGUGUCAGCCGACGGAACAUGAACACAGGGAUGGACUAACUCUACGACUGGGAUGACUACAGCGGACCGUGGCUAAGACCGAAUAAUUUAUCGACCUUGUAUGUGCCCUAGUUGGAUAAGGUAGUUGGUAGGGUAAAAGACUACCAAGGCGACGAUCCAUAGCUGGUCUGAGAGGAUGAUCAGCCACACUGGGACUGAGACACGGCCCAGACUCCUACGGGAGGCAGCAGUGGGGAAUAUUGGACAAUGGGCGAAAGCCUGAUCCAGCAAUGCCGCGUGAGUGAUGAAGGCCUUAGGGUUGUAAAGCUCUUUUACCCGGGAUGAUAAUGACAGUACCGGGAGAAUAAGCUCCGGCUAACUCCGUG